AUUUAUGGUGUGUUUGUGUGAUUAUGCGUUUAUGAUCAUCGAGAAACAAAAAUGUUUAUCGGUAUUGACUUUGGUAUUUCUAGAUAUGUACACCUGAGUUAAAACUCUGCACACCAACUACAUGUGUUGACUUUGGUAGACCUUGUAACCCUCGUACACCGUUGUUGUAAUGUUGUUGUAACUACGUGAAGGUAUACAUCAUUGAACAAAAUGAUUGCGAAUGUUAUUGUGUUAUAAUUAGAAUUAUUCGUGAUGUUUGAUUGUAUUAUAUAAAGUCACAUCAUUGAACAAAAUGAACUACAUGUAUUGUCGGUGCUAGACCUUGUAACGUUUGGUGUACAAUAUAAAGUGAAACGUUUUGUUUGGCCUUUUAAAAUCGUACACCAUUGGCGUAAUGAUGCACACCAAGUCUGACAUUUCACAUCAACCAUAUGUAUUGACUUUCUUAGACCUUUUAACGGUGGUUGUAUUAUAUUAUGUAAAACGCAUUGUUUGG
rnacentral:lncRNA from 1 species